CAUUAACCGCCCCUUGCAUUUUUCACCUGAUUUGGAGAGAGCACCCACAAGAUCACCUAGACGAAGAAGAGGAGAAGGAACAGAAAGAUUUGAACUUUCGGCUAAGGAUGAAAAAAGCCAAACCAACCCUAGACCAGAAAUCAGUGAUAGUUAAAUCAUGUGCAUAUAUAUAUAUAUAGGGAAAAGACAGGCAACUCAUCAUCAACUACUGAGACCAGCACUAGUACCAGCCUGGCGCACAGAUAACUUUUCCUUUUUUGCUUUGAGCGCACAGUUCAUUUGCAUCUUCUUCUCAUCUUUCUCUGCAGAGGCAAAAUAUUUAACAAUAUAAUUGCACAGAGAAGGAGGAAAGGAAAACAAGAUGGCACUUGCUAAAGAAAUUAUGGGUAGUUCUUUGAUUGAUAAAUCAUCAUAUGUAUCAAGGUCGUCUAAAGUGCUCUUUAACCAUAGUUUUCGUCAAAAGAAUCAGUUCUUGGCGAAACCAGUUUUGAUGCCUUUGCAACACAGAAAGGUUAACUUAAAAAGAGCAGCUGUGAGGGGUCCUGUUGCAGCUAUUAGUGAAGAUUUGAUCAAAGCCAAUAGUAAAACAGAUACUGUGCCCGAAAAGCCAGUGACGUUCAAGGUGAGAGCUGUUGUCACCGUGAGAAACAAGCACAAGGAGGAUUUGAAGGACACCAUUGCCAAGCACUGGGAUGCUUUCGCUGACAAGAUUGGGAGAAAUGUUGUUUUGGAGCUCAUUAGUUCUGAAGUUGAUCCAAAAACCAAGGCACCGAAGAAAAGCAAGGCAGCUGUGUUGAAGGACUGGUCCAAGAAAUCAAAUGUCAAAGCUGAGAGGGUCCAUUAUACAGCUGAAUUUCUAGUGGAUUCCAAUUUUGGGGUGCCUGGAGCAAUUACAGUGAGCAACAAGCACCAGAAGGAGUUUUUCUUGGAGACGAUCACCCUUGAAGGAUUUGCUUGCGGUCCAGUGCAUUUCCCUUGCAACUCCUGGGUACAAUCCAAGAAAGAUCAUCCUGCAAAUAGGAUAUUUUUCUCUAAUGAGCCAUAUUUGCCAACUGAGACACCUGCUGGACUAAGAGUGUUAAGAGAAACAGAACUAAGAGAUAUCAGAGGUGAUGGCCAAGGAGAGAGAAAGUUAUCAGACAGGAUUUAUGACUUUGAUGUCUACAAUGAUUUGGGAAAUCCUGACAAGGGUAUUGAGUUUGCUAGGCCAAAACUUGGAGGUGAAAACAUGCCAUAUCCAAGACGGUGUCGCACCGGCCGUUGCCCAACUGAUACAAAUAUAAAUGCAGAAAGUCGUGUGGAGAAGCCCUCGCCAAUUUAUGUGCCUAGAGAUGAACAAUUUGAGGAGUCUAAGCAAAAGACAUUCUCAGCUGGGAGGCUUAAGGCAGUGCUUCAUACUCUGAUACCAUCCUUAAAGGCCACCAUUUCUGCUGAGAACCAUGACUUCAACGCAUUUUCGGACAUUGAUAUCCUCUACAAGGAGGGUUUGCUUCUUAAAGUAGGGCUUCAAGAUGAAAUCUGGAGAAGUCUACCAUUGCCAAAGGCAGUUACCAGGAUUCAGGAAUCUAGUGAGGGACUUCUCAGAUAUGACACACCCAAGGUUAUUUCUAAGGACAAGUUUGCCUGGUUGCGAGAUGACGAAUUUGCCCGUCAAGCAAUCUCAGGUGUUAACCCUGUCAACAUUGAGAGGCUGAAGGCUUUUCCACCAAAAAGCAAUCUUGAUCCUGAAAUCUACGGUCCACAGGAGUCUGCUCUUAAAGAAGAGCACAUUAUAGGACAUCUGAAUGGCAUGUCUGUUAAAGAGGCCUUGGAGGAAAAUAAACUGUUUAUAGUGGAUUAUCAUGAUAUUUAUCUCCCAUUUUUGGACCGCAUUAAUGCCCUUGACAGUAGAAAAGCAUAUGCAACUCGAACCAUAUUUUUCUUGACCCCCCUUGGGACACUCAAGCCCAUUGCUAUAGAGCUUAGUCUCCCACAUGUCGGACCAAGUUCCCAAUCAAAGCGAGUAGUUACACCUCCUGUAGACGCAACUACAAACUGGAUAUGGCAACUUGCCAAGGCUCACGUUUGCUCCAAUGAUGCUGGGGUUCAUCAACUAGUUAAUCACUGGCUACGUACACAUGCCAGCAUGGAGCCAUUUAUACUAGCAGCACAUAGGCAAUUGAGUGCAAUGCACCCCAUAUUUAAGCUUUUAGAUCCACACAUGAGAUACACCCUAGAGAUCAAUGCCUUAGCCCGCCAAAGUUUAAUCAAUGCUGAUGGUGUUAUUGAAUCCUGCUUCACUCCUGGCCGCUACUGCAUGGAUAUUAGCGCUGCUGCAUAUAAGAACUUUUGGCGAUUCGACAUGGAAGGCCUUCCUGCUGAUCUCAUUCGCAGGGGUAUGGCUGUACCUGACCCAACCCAACCACAUGGCCUGAAGCUUCUAAUUGAGGACUAUCCAUAUGCACAAGAUGGGCUUCUAAUCUGGUUUGCAAUAGAGAACUGGGUUCGCAGCUAUGUGAACCGGUAUUACCCUAAUUCAAGCCUAAUUUGUAACGAUAAAGAGCUACAAGCUUGGUAUGCUGAGUCUGUCAAUGUGGGCCAUGCUGAUCUCAAACAUGCAGAAUGGUGGCCCACAUUAAACAAUGUUGAUAAUCUUGUUUCAAUCCUCACCACCAUCAUUUGGCUUGCAUCUGCUCAACAUGCUGCCCUUAAUUUUGGGCAGUAUCCUUAUGGGGGCUAUGUGCCUAAUAGACCGCCCUUAAUGAGAAGAUUAAUCCCAGAAGAAAAUGACACAGAAUAUGCAAGUCUCGUAGCUGAUCCACAAAAAUAUUUCCUGUCAGCAUUGCCGAGUCUGUUACAAGCAACAAAAUUUAUGGCUGUGGUAGACACCUUAUCGACACACUCACCGGAUGAGGAAUACCUAGGUGAACGACAACAGCCAUCGAUUUGGUCUGGUGAUGCUGAAAUAAUCGAGUCAUUUUAUGAGUUCUCCGCAGAGAUGAGACGGAUAGAGAAGGAGAUCGAUAGAAAAAACAUAGAUCCUAACUUUAGAAAUCGGUGUGGAGCAGGAGUAUUGCCAUAUGAAUUACUAGCACCAAGCUCAUCACCAGGGGUAACAUGUAGAGGCGUACCAAAUAGUGUGUCGAUAUGAGUAAAAAAUGUGACCAUAAUAAUAGUUCAAUAUGCCUUUGAGUUGUUUCAAGAUUUUAAAUUCCAGACACAAGACCAUUCUUAUAUAAAAUGUAUUUAUAUAUUUUGCAAGUGUAGGGUGCACUUAGUGGAACUUUUAACAUAGGAUUGUAUAUGCAAUAGAGUGCAAUAAGCAAAUCUAUGUGUCAUAAUCUUGUGCUAAUAUGAAAGAGUGAGAAUUUUUAAUCUUUUU
rnacentral:misc_RNA from 1 species